rnacentral:lncRNA from 1 species
GAACAGGAGGGAAAGGUGUGCACCUCAGCUGCACAGCAUUUCACAAAACCAAUGAUGAGAGGCGGGCAUACCUUUCAGAAAUUGCUAAGCUGUCCUCCACCCUUGAAGCCCAAAGGAGACAGAACUCCACCCAGCCACAGAGGGCAGGAGAGAGCAAACAGAGGAGAGGGAGGCAGACCGGCAGGAAGGCGGAGGCUGAUUCUAAGAAAGGAAAAGAGAGAGAAGAAGAUGGACGAGGAGCGUGUGUGAACGGAGGAGGUGGUGGUGGAGCAACAACAGAGAAAAGAGAAGAGAAGAAAUCUCAAAGGGGAAGCAGGUUACCCACCUUAAAGUACUACCUUAAACACAAUCCCUAACCCCAACCUGGUGUCAUAGCCUCUUUUAUUAAUGUUUUUAAAGAGGUGUCUUGGUUUAAAUUUCUCAAAAGAUGACUGUGAGGAAACAAUUCAGUUCCCAUGUAGGUUAUGUACCCAUGUGCCACUGUCGGUAUUGUAAUUCAGUGUUAAUUGAUGGCAAAUACAUAUAAAAUGUUACAUUUAUUAUGAAGUC